rnacentral:rRNA from 1 species
ACGGGAGGCAGCAGUGGGGAAUAUUGCACAGUGGCGCAAGCCUGAUGCAGCAACGCCGCGUGAGGGAUGACGGUCUUCGGAUUGUAAACCUUUGUCUUUGGUGAAGAAGAAAGUGACGGUAACCAAGGAGGAAGCCACGGCUAACUACGUGCCAGCAGCCGCGGUAAUACGUAGGUGGCAAGCGUUGUCCGGAAUUACUGGGUGUAAAGGGAGCGCAGGCGGGACUGCAGGUUGGAUGUGAAAUACCGAGGCUCAACCGCGGAGCUGCAUCAAAAACUGUAGUUCUUGAGUGGAGUAGAGCUAAGCGGAAUUCCGAGUGUAGCGGUGAAAUGCGUAGAUAGUCGGAGGAACACCAGUGGCGAAGGCGGCUUACUGGGCUCUAACUGACGCUGAGGCUCGAAAGUGUGGGGAGCAAACAGGAUUAGAUACCCUGGUA